rnacentral:rRNA from 1 species
CAAUAGCGUAUAUUAAAGUUGUUGCAGUUAAAAAGCUCGUAGUUGGAUUUCUGGUGGGAGCGAUCGGUCUGGCGCUUAGCGCGAGUACUUGCAUCGUCUCCGGCCAUCCUUGGGGAGAGUCUGUCUGGCAUUAGGUUGUCGGGCAGAGGAUCCUCAUCGUUUACUGUGAAAAAAUUAGAGUGUUCAAAGCAGGCUUAUGCCGUUGAAUAUAUUAGCAUGGAAUAAUAAGAUAGGACUUUGGUACUAUUUUGUUGGUUUGCGCACCAAAGUAAUGAUUAAUGGGGACAGUUGGGGGUAUUCGUAUUCCGUUGUCAGAGGUGAAAUUCUUGGAUUUACGGAAGACGAACUACUGCGAAAGCAUUUACCAAGGAUGUUUUCAUUAA